rnacentral:rRNA from 1 species
GAUCCUGGCUCAGGACGAACGCUGGCGGCGUGCUUAACACAUGCAAGUCGAACGAAGAGCGAUGGAAGCUUGCUUCUAUCAAUCUUAGUGGCGAACGGGUGAGUAACGCGUAAUCAACCUGCCCUUCAGAGGGGGACAACAGUUGGAAACGACUGCUAAUACCGCAUACGAUCCAAUCUCGGCAUCGAGACUGGAUGAAAGGUGGCCUCUAUUUAUAAGCUAUCACUGAAGGGGGGGA